rnacentral:sRNA from 1 species
GAAUUUUUAUUUGUUCCUGCAAAGCUGCUGAAGCUCAGAAGCUGAUUCUAUCACAUUGUAAGAUGCCUUUGGAUAAUUCUACAGUCCUCUUAAAUGAAUCUUUAGAACUUGGCAAGUCUCACUAGAUACCUUCAAUCAUCAUUUUGAGCUCAAAGAAUUCUGAGACUUAUAGUUGGUCAUAUAGAAGAGUACCUUGAACCUAUAGUUUCCUGAAGAAUCAGUUUAAAAGAUCCAAGGAGUACAAAAGGAGAAGUACAAAUGUCUACUACAAGACGAAAACGUAGUAUGUUAUGUUGUUUACCGUAAGCUGUAGUAAAAUGAGCUCGAUUGUUGACAGAGAUGACAGUAGUAUUUUUGAUGGGUUGGUGGAAGAAGAUGACAAGGACAAAGCGAAAAGAGUAUCUAGAAACAAAUCUGAAAAGAAACGUAGAGAUCAAUUUAAUGUUCUCAUUAAAGAACUGGGAUCCAUGCUUCCUGGUAAUGCUAGAAAGAUGGACAAAUCUACUGUUCUGCAGAAAAGCAUUGAUUUUUUACGAAAACAUAAAGAAAUCACUGCACAGUCAGAUGCUAGUGAAAUUCGACAGGACUGGAAACCUACAUUCCUUAGUAAUGAAGAGUUUACACAAUUAAUGUUAGAGGCUCUUGAUGGUUUUUUUUUAGCAAUCAUGACAGAUGGAAGCAUAAUAUAUGUGUCUGAGAGUGUAACUUCAUUACUUGAACAUUUACCAUCUGAUCUUGUGGAUCAAAGUAUAUUUAAUUUUAUCCCAGAAGGGGAACAUUCAGAGGUUUAUAAAAUACUCUCUACUCAUCUGCUGGAAAGUGAUUCAUUAACCCCAGAAUAUUUAAAAUCAAAAAAUCAGUUAGAAUUCUGUUGUCAUAUGCUGCGAGGAACAAUAGACCCAAAGGAGCCAUCUACCUAUGAAUAUGUAAAAUUUAUAGGAAAUUUCAAAUCUUUAAACAGUGUAUCCUCUUCAGCACACAAUGGUUUUGAAGGAACUAUACAACGCACACAUAGGCCAUCUUAUGAAGAUAGAGUUUGUUUUGUAGCUACUGUCAGGUUAGCUACACCUCAGUUCAUCAAGGAAAUGUGCACUGUUGAAGAACCCAAUGAAGAGUUUACAUCUAGACAUAGUUUAGAAUGGAAGUUUCUGUUUCUAGAUCACAGGGCACCACCCAUAAUAGGGUAUUUGCCAUUUGAAGUUCUGGGAACAUCAGGCUAUGAUUACUAUCAUGUGGAUGACCUAGAAAAUUUGGCAAAAUGUCAUGAGCACUUAAUGCAAUAUGGGAAAGGCAAAUCAUGUUAUUAUAGGUUCCUGACUAAGGGGCAACAGUGGAUU